rnacentral:rRNA from 1 species
GCGUGCCUAACACAUGCAAGUCGAACGAGGUAGCAAUACCUAGUGGCAGACGGGUGAGUAACGCGUAGUCAACCUACCAUUCAGUGGGGGAUAACUAGCCGAAAGGUUAGCUAAUACCGCAUACGAUCGUUGAGUGGCAUCACACGACGAUCAAAGGAGUAAUUCGCUGAAUGACGGGACUGCGUCCCAUUAGUUAGUUGGUGGGGUAAUGGCCUACCAAGACUCCGAUGGGUAGCUGGCUUGAGAGAGCGACCAGCCACACUGGAACUGAGAUACGGUCCAG